UACGGGGGGGGCAAGCGUUGUUCGGAAUUACUGGGCGUAAAGGGCUUGUAGGUGGCCACGGCAAGUCGGAUGUGAAAUCUCCCGGCUCAACUGGGAGGGGUCAUUCGAUACUGCCGGGCUCGAGGCCGGUAGGGGGAAGCGGAAUUCCCGGUGUAGUGGUGGAAUGCGUAGAUAUCGGGAGGAACACCAGAGGCGAAGGCGGCUUCCUGGACCGGUCCUGACACUGAGGAGCGAAAGCGUGGGGAGCGAUCCGG
rnacentral:rRNA from 1 species